GAUGACAGGCCAAAACGUAGAAAAAUAUCUACGUUUUGGCAGAUCCCCGGCUACGUGUGGACAGGGCCAGAGUCAGGGGUAGAGUUGUGUUGCUGUUUGCAACUCCAAAUUCUGUCGCACACCGGAGCUUUUUUUCCUGUCGAGUCUGGCCUAAAAGGCCUUCAUUCCUACUAGAGACCACUUCAAAUGUGUUAAAACAAGAGCGAAUGACCUCUUUGACGAGCUUCUGAAGCUCAAACAAAAGCACUUGUGCAGAAAUGUUUCAGCGUUGGAACAUUUCCAACGUUGUCCAGCAAGCUCCUGGAUAUUAGUUAUGAAUUAUGGAACAUUAUAAUGAAACAUCACAUCUCCUCGGGUGGCGAAGCGAUUUGGGUCUGGUUGUUUCUCUCACCUUCCAUGUUAUAAACCUGCAAGGCAAAAACAAGGCAGUUAGAUGGAAAGAGCACACGUCUGAAACCUUGUCAGAGAAACGAGGGUAGAGAGGAGGGACUGGAAAAGGGUAGAAAGGGUGGACUGAUGCUUUGACCUAGGGGAAACAAGCCAUUGUGAUGUUUUACCUGUGGCUCUUUGAUUCCUUUUGGAAGGUUUGGGGUGAAACGUGGUGACAGGUAUAAAAAAAAGGAGAAAAGAGGGAAAUUAAGAGUCCAUAGAAAGUUAUGAAGAUGAGGGGGAGGGGACUUUUGGAGGACCUUCAAGAAUUUGCCUUUUAAGGGGUACAGUCUCACUCUUCCAAGCCUUGUGAGCUCUUGCAUAGCCGCCAGAUCACUUAAGCCAGAAGAAAUAAACAACAGCAAAGAGCCCAUUAGAACCAAAAUACAAUCCUGUCUGGGAUUAAAACCAACUUUUUGACCUGUAUGCUUUCAUAAUCCCUCUUCUAACAUGCAGGUGUGGAUUAAGAGGUGAAAAGGGGGACUUUCUACCCCUGUAACUAAGAGCUCUGCAGCAGCGUAAGACCAGAGAAGUCUCCGUUUGUCACUCCGUCCUGAAUCACCGGUUUGCUCAGCAUCCUAACAUCACUGUAGUGCUUCUUCUUACUUGUUUUCUACACAAUACCGACAAUGUGCCGUCACCGGGGCUAAGGAGUAUCUGGGAGCAGGAAAAGG
rnacentral:lncRNA from 1 species